rnacentral:rRNA from 1 species
ACGGGAGGCAGCAGUGGGGGAUAUUGCACAAUGGGGGAAACCCUGAUGCAGCGACGCCGCGUGAGUGAUGAAGUAUUUCGGUAUGUAAAGCUCUAUCAGCAGGGAAGAAAAUGACGGUACCUGACUAAGAAGCACCGGCUAAAUACGUGCCAGCAGCCGCGGUAAUACGGAGGAUGCGAGCGUUAUCCGGAUUUAUUGGGUUUAAAGGGUGCGUAGGCUGUUCUUCAAGUCAGAGGUGAAAUACCGGGGCUCAACCCUGGAACUGCCUUUGAUACUGGAGGGCUUGAAUACUGUUGCCGUGGGAGGAAUGAGUAGUGUAGCGGUGAAAUGCAUAGAUAUUACUCAGAACACCGAUUGCGAAGGCAUCUCACGAAGCAGCGAUUGACGCUGAGGCACGAAAGCGUGGGGAUCAAACAGGAUUAGAUACCCUGGUA